rnacentral:tRNA from 1 species
CAAAUUAGAGCUUGUUAAGCAUUUUAGUUACAUUAAAAAGUAAGUUGUGGAAUUCAAUUUAAUUUGA